rnacentral:misc_RNA from 1 species
GAUGAAGAACGUAGCGAAAUGCGAUAAGUAAUGUGAAUUGCAGAAUUCAGUGAAUCAUCGAAUCUUUGAACGCACCUUGCGCUCCUUGGUAUUCCAAGGAGCAUGCCUGUUUGAGUAUCAUUAAAUUAUCAACUGUGCCAAUUUGUUUACAGAUUGGAUGUGGGAGAUUCUUUUUGCAGGCCUUUGACUUCUCUUUGAGAAAAAAAUAAAAGGUCGGCUCUCCUGAAAUGUAUUAGCAGUGCCUUUGUUGGUUCAUUAGGUGUGAUAAAUUGUCUACAUCUUCACAUGAUACCUUCAUUUGUAAAGGUUAUAUUGAUUCUAAAUUGUCUUUGAUUGGACGCAAAACAUAUAUAAUGUUUGACAAACUUGAUCUCAAAUCAGGCAGGACUACCCGCUGAACUUAAGCAUAUCAAUAAGCGGAGGA